UACAGAGGGUGCGAGCGUUGUCCGGAAUCACUGGGCGUAAAGGGCGCGUAGGCGGCCUGCUAAGUAGAGGGUGAAAUCCUGCGGCUCAACCGCAGGGCUGCCUUCUAAACUGUCAGGCUGGAGCACGGUAGAGGCAGAUGGAAUUCCCGGUGUAGCGGUGGAAUGCGUAGAGAUCGGGAAGAAUCCACGUGGCGAAGGCGGCCAUGCUGGGCCGUGACUCGACGCUGGAGGCGCGAAGCGUGGGG
rnacentral:rRNA from 1 species